rnacentral:lncRNA from 1 species
GCCAAGCCAGAGUCCUGGGGUCGGCGAACUCCAGUGGACACAACUCAAAGGCGGGGUUUCAGCUCCUCUUUCCUUCCCUCCCCCCAGCCGGCUGGCUACCCAGUCCCGGGAGCCCGGGUCUCGCAGACAGGGUCCGCAAACCCGUCCGCUACCCGCUGGCUUCCAGCAGUGGAGACCCGGGCUUCCAGAACGCCGUCCCGCCCGCCCGCCCGCCCGGCGUCGGGCCGCACGGUUCGCCCCUGGGCAGGGGUGGCGGCGCGCACAUGUCCCUUUCCGCACACAGCGCCGUUUCCGAAAGCGCGAGCUUCGUGUCGCCGCGGACGCGCGAGUUUGGAGAGGCGCCGUGUCCGCGAGCUGCAACGCUCGCAGUCACUGGCGAGCGUUCACCUCCACCUAAGGGGUCUGGACCUUAGAUCCGAGUCCCCAGGGGGCGGUGAUGGUGGUGAGUGGGAGGGGUGGGAGUGGGGCUCUCCCGAAUGCAACGCAGGCUUCCGGGCAGGCCCUCUCCGUAAUGAGGCCGGGAGACGCGGGCGCAGGCGCUCGCACCGCGGAACAGCUGAUUGUCUCCUCCACGGCAGAUGGUCUUUGAGCACAGAUUUGCAUUCAUUGUCUUCAAAUCUGUUUUCGCGCGGGUGUUCUAGAGUUCAGCAGCAGAUCUACGCACAGAUCAGAAUACAAAAGGAGAAGCAAGAAAAUAACACCCAGCCAGGAGAGUUGUUGUUUUUAAAGACAGGCACCAGGAGCUGCCCCACGCAGUUGAAAAGCCGUCUAGGGUUUCAGCCGUGCGCGGGGCGAAGUUGCUGCCACUCCGCAACCGCGGCUCCACGGCGGCGCCCACGCCCCAGGACCGCGCCCCGGCCGCUCGCGCGCUCCGCCUGCCACGACCUGUCAGCAGCCUCUGGAGUGCUCGCGCCGCCCGGGGGUGUUUCCCUGAGCACCUCGGCGGUUUACCCGACGCUGUAUUUAUUUGAACAACACUCGCGCCUCGCUCGUCUGCACCCCUCCCCCGACAACUUGCAAACCGCACGCAACAUCUGA